rnacentral:rRNA from 1 species
AUUAAACGAGAGUUUGAUCCUGGCUCAGGAUGAACGCUGGCGGCGUGCUUAACACAUGCAAGUCGAGCGAAGCACAUGA